CUGUAAUUUCUAGCAGGCUGAGCGACCGCACUGAGCAUUAAGUGAUGGCGAUUUUUUUCUUUCUUUUAAUCCGACGUUAUUUUAAUAUCGAAAUUUAAUUUCUUCAAUAAUCUUGCUAUUAGAUUGUCACUUACAGGUAUGCAGAAAAGUUCCUUAAAUUCUUUACCCAAUAAUCCAGCACUUUUCGUUGAGUUUUACUAAUUUUUUCCAUGAUGUUCUCUCUAGCCAUCGAUGUCAUACUUCACAUUCAAAUUGAAACGUGAUCAAGUGCUUGAGUGUUAUUUAUUCGCCUUUAUCUACUUGCUUAUUUUGAUUUUAAUCAUUGAAAUUGUAUGGAUAAUACCGUACUAAAUUCUGGUGCCUCAACUUAAGUACCAUAUUCAUCUGAAUCUAAUUUUUUGCUAUAUAUAUAAAAAGACAUUUAAAACAAUUCAUGGCUGAUUCGGGGACAAGUGAAGUUGAUGUGUGACAAUUAUUAUUAUUAUAUUUUCUUCAGAAUUACAUUAAAUGAUAUUUAAGUGGUUUAAAUGCAAAAUAUAAUUAGCGGAGGAGCUGCAUCAGAAAAUUUCCCUGUUUUCUCUCCCCCACCCUUUGGUAGGCAGCAUCCUUUCCUUUCCAAUAUAGACUAGUUCCAGUAGGGAAAUGGAUGAAGCUCUGUUACAGUGGAGAAAGCUGCGUUUGUCAGUUCUUGAUACAGAUGAGGAUAGACGGAAAGAGAGUAUGGGGCAAUCUGCGCUCAGAUGCUACUUUCAACUCUCUCUUUGACCAGUCUAAUCAAUUUUCAAGGUGUCACCUACAUUCCGCAAGUGCGAAAUUCUCGGGGGACUGGAUUGAUGCCUUGCCUGUGGCCAACAUUGGCGGUCUAUUUAGUAUGCAUGAGCUCCACAUCUCCAUUGCACUCAGAGUGAGAGCCGACGUCUGUGGGGGACUGACAUAUCGCUGUGGUAGGCCCCUCGACUCCACGGGCCUUCACAUAUUGUCUGGUCACCUACAUGCUGGUCGUUUCGCUCAUCAGACCGAGCUAAACUUAAAUCAGUAAGCGGGCCCUGACUCGCAUGAAUACCCCUCAGUUCUAGAGCCGGUAGGAUUAUUCAGAAGAGAUGGGAAGAGACCAGAUGGUCUUACCCUUUGUCUCUGGGUAAGAGGUAGGUGCCUCAUCUGGAACGCCACAAUCUGUGACUCCUUUACUCCCUCCCACAUCCUGGAUGCCGCGGUAAACGUGAGGGUCACUGCUUUCGUAGCCGAACGGAACAUCCGUCAGUGAACCAUAUCUGCCAGCCUGUGACGUUUGGAGGGGCUGGGCCGCUAACAGUGAAUUUCGUUGUCGUCUGCUUCACAGAUGGCAGGUGAUGCUCGUAAGAGUGCUUGGCUGUACAAACGCCUCAGCCUCGCCAUCGCCCGCGGUAAUGCCACGAGCGUGCUGGCUUGCUUCAGUAAGUUUCGUUGAACCUUGAGGCAUAAAGCCUAAAAUACAGAAGGGACACCUCAAGGACAGACAGCACAAACGUGGGGUACAUACAAUUAACGAAUGAAUUAUGAGUUAUGAAUAUAAUGAUAAUGCAAUGGCUUUCCUACCCACCACCCAAAGUAGGGAGUUUGGUUUUACUAUUUUUACAAUCAAUAAUUGUAUCCAGUUUGUAUCGUGUUCAUAUCAAAAAAAGCUAUUAACUCUUCGAAUGUGUUAAAGAAUAAAUUUGUACUCAACCAAUU